rnacentral:lncRNA from 1 species
UUUUGUUGGGAAAAUAACCAUCUUCUGGUUUCUUUUUUCCUAGACAAUAGCAGCCACAGAAAAUAUGGAAAGAGUCAAAAAAAAAAAAAAUCUUUCAAAAGAAAUGUGCUUUGUUCAUUGACAGAGGGGAAGAUUUUGAGGGAAAAAAUAUCCUGUGAAAAAGGCCUGUGUUCUUCUAAUCAUCCCAUGGAAGCUCGAAGGUGUUCCUGUUCCAGCUGCUUUUGGGAGGAGGAUGCUUUGGACUGAGCACGUUUCUUUAUAUACCCCUGGACAUUUUUAAAGGAAGGAAUGUGGGUUGUAUUUGUGAUCUGAGAAAUCACAGUGUUCUCAUUGGCCUCUCUGGGGAUUGUUCACCAAUGCUUUCUUUUCUCUGCCAAACUUAAACAUUUCUCCUGAGGAAACAUUCAGUUUCUAAAUCUGCAUAAUCCUGCCUUGGUAAGUUCAUAAAAAAGUCUGGUUUAGCCUUACUUCUUUCAAUGGCUGGGAUUUUUUUGAGGAAAGUCAAGUC